rnacentral:rRNA from 1 species
GACGAACGCUGGCGGCGUGCUUAACACAUGCAAGUCGAACGGAAAGGCCCUGCUUUUGUGGGGUGCUCGAGUGGCGAACGGGUGAGUAACACGUGAGUAACCUGCCCUUGACUUUGGGAUAACUUCAGGAAACUGGGGCUAAUACCGGAUAGGAGCUCCUGCUGCAUGGUGGGGGUUGGAAAGUUUCGGCGGUUGGGGAUGGACUCGCGGCUUAUCAGCUUGUUGGUGGGGUAGUGGCUUACCAAGGCUUUGACGGGUAGCCGGCCUGAGAGGGUGACCGGCCACAUUGGGACUGAGAUACGGCCCAGACUCCUACGGGAGGCAGCAGUGGGGAAUAUUGCACAAUGGGCGGAAGCCUGAUGCAGCAACACCGCGUGCGGGAUGACGGCCUUUGGGUUGUAAACCGCUUUCGCCUGUGACGAAGCGUGAGUGACGGUAAUGGGUAAAGAAGCACCGGCUAACUACGUG